rnacentral:rRNA from 1 species
CCGGCGCACGGGUGAGUAACGCGUAUGCAACCUGCCCGUUUCAGCGGGAUAACCCGGAGAAAUCCGGCCUAAUACCGCAUGUGGCCGAGGGAGGCAUCUUCUUUCGGCCAAAGGAGGCGACUCCGGAGACGGAUGGGCAUGCGUGACAUUAGCUAGUUGGCGGGGUAACGGCCCACCAAGGCGACGAUGUCUAGGGGUUCUGAGAGGAAGGUCCCCCACACUGGUACUGAGACACGGACCAGACUCCUACGGAAGGCAGCAG